rnacentral:rRNA from 1 species
ACACUCCUGCGGGAGGCAGCAGUGGGGAAUAUUAGACAAUGGGCGCAAGCCUGAUCCAGCCAUGCCGCGUGAGUGAUGAAGGCCCUAGGGUUGUAAAGCUCUUUCACCGGUGAAGAUAAUGACGGUAACCGGAGAAGAAGCCCCGGCUAACUUCGUGCCAGCAGCCGCGGUAAUACGAAGGGGGCUAGCGUUGUUCGGAUUUACUGGGCGUAAAGCGCACGUAGGCGGACUAUUAAGUCAGGGGUGAAAUCCCGGGGCUCAACCCCGGAACUGCCUUUGAUACUGGUAGUCUUGAGUUCGAGAGAGGUGAGUGGAAUUCCGAGUGUAGAGGUGAAAUUCGUAGAUAUUCGGAGGAACACCAGUGGCGAAGGCGGCUCACUGGCUCGAUACUGACGCUGAGGUGCGAAAGCGUGGGGAGCAAACAGGAUUAGAUACCCUUGUAGUCCCAUG